GUGGACCCUCCUUUUUAAACCCCCCUCCCUGCCUCCCCCGUGGACUUCAUGGCCUCCUAUUAUUUAGCAGAUUUGUUUUUGCAUCCUGGUUGAACCUUCUAGUGUGAAAGGGGAAAAAAACGAUCAGGAUCAUAUAUGUGCCUUUGCAGGGACGCGGGGGGCAUAACCUAACAAAUGUGUGGGGUCAAUUGGUUUCCCAAGGGGACGCUACUGAGAAGCUGGCUCACCAAGUCCCGGCCCAGACUGCUGCUGCUCAUCGCGGGGUUGAAAAGACCUCAGGUGACCCUCAUGCGGAGGAAGAGGAUGAAACGCACGAAAGUAGCAAAGGCCACGUAAGCGAACCUGCAAUCGAAUGCCGCAUUUCACUUGAGGUCUUGGCAAAGAGGAUCUCCCCACCGGAGUUAGAUAUGAAAGACGAAGACAUGGAAGAACUACGUUUUGAAUCUUUGUCGAAGCAACGAACUAAACGCCAAAGUAAACAGAAAAGAGGUUUACCGUCUUUUGUGAAAACAAGGGAUCUGCAACAGAGAUCUAGACCCCCUGAUUAAAUCGAGAUCUUCUCCUACACGCCCAUUUGUAUAUCUCUUCAAAUCCAAAUUUGUUAUGGUUCAUUAUAGUACAAUGAGUGUGACUUGUAGAUUAUUUACAUCCAGUGGCAUACAUUUAGUUUAACAGAACUGACUAUCGCUGUGUUCUUAGGGUAGAUCUUUUCUAGUCAGAGAAUGAUUUGUUGUUUCACAUAAGCAAAUUUGUGUUUGAGUGGGUGAAUAAAAAAAUAGUGCCUCUCCAUGGCUAGCAGGUGCAAAUAUCUAAACCACAGUAGGUACACACGAUUAAUGCAACUCUGGGCCAAUGAAAGAGUCGCCAUUAACAAUAUGACCCAUCAUUUUUCCUUAUUUUAUAUAAAACAUCCAAGUGACUUGAAAGGAGGAAAAAGAGAGCGAGAAGGGGUAAAACCUUGAUGUAAACAUUCAAAAGUCUAAUCAAAUUGUGUUGGUCACAUACACAUAUUAUUGCAGAUGUAGCAAAAUGCUUGUUUUCCUUUACAAAUAGGUACCAAUUCUAGGCAACACUUUCACACUCAAAUCAUAAAGCCUACUUUUGCAGUGCCAUGGACAGGACAGAAAAUCUGUUUGGCAAUUAACAUUUUGUUAAUUUUUUUACUACAUUAUCUAAUAUUGCCUAUUGUAUUUAGGUGAAUAGCAAGCUUUCACAAAUCAGGUAUCAUGAAACAAACUGCUUAAAAUAUAUGACACUGCAAUGUAUUGGCAAGGUUUCAAGUAAAGCAAGUUAAUAUUUUGGUAAAGUUUAUUUUACCAACCCAAGUAAUACACUUUUUUUUUUAAAUCAGAUCAUAAAUUACAUAAACAUUACAAUCACUUAACCUCGCUAGCAAAAACAGUUUGCACCAUUUGAAAGUUAUAGUUAACACAAUUAACAAUUUAUAGAUUUGUUUGUCUUACUUUUGUAAUCAUAUUGUAAUUUUUGCUAACAUGAGAUGGGAAGCACAAUGUCUCACCAUACAAAAAUAUAAGUAUCGUUUUUCACAUUGAUAGCAAUAUUAUAAAUUAUUCAUUUUUUCAUGGUUAUACUAAGUUGUCCCAUUUCACAUGUAAAUACAUGAACUUUCGUUACAAUCUUCAAAGGACAAAAUUGGAAUAGUCAAAAUGAACGUAGAUAAUUACUAAACUCUAGUUCAAGCUCAACUUUGGUUUGAACCACAUACAUUGAAAUUCCUCCAACGUGUCACUCAGAGGAACAUCAGCUUUGUUACUCAUGCUCUAACAAAUUAUUUCUUAAAACAAUAAACUGCCAACUUAAUAUAAAGUGUGACCGGAUACAUUCUCAUGGAUUAAUGCGGUCGCUUUGUUUCAAUGUGUAUUUGUUCUAAACUGUACUUAAUAAGUGAUUCAUAUUUUUAAAAGGUUUCAUAAUUGUGAAUUAUGUAUUACUGAUUUUAUUUUAUGCAAAUUAUCUACAGGGUGGAAGGGGAAACUCUGCAUCAACCAGUGUUACCCAAAACUUGGUCUAGGAGAACUCGAGUAUGCUGGUUUUCCAUCAACCCAUUAUAUUCAUUGUUUUUAUUUGAACUGUUGACGGCUUGGCUGGGUCUUUUGUUGCUCAAACAAGUCUCUGAAAGGAUGGCUUGUAAAAGAAACCAGCAUUCAAAAUAGUUCAGGUUGGGGAAGCAUUGGAAUAAUAAACCACUCGGAUUUGGAACAUCCUGUUGAAAUGCAAGACUCAGUAAGAGACAACUUUGCAAUUAAUGGACUUAAAUUGGACAACAUACGGCUAGUAACUCCAGUGAGAAUAGAGAAACUAAACAGAGCAGCAGCAUUAGUGUCACUGAGGAUAUAGGAAAGUAAUGUCCCAACUUUACUCCUAGGAGGGCCAUGGAUAUACUAGUUUUCAUUUGAACAACUUUCAUAUGCAUUUGUUGCUGCCAUUAACACUGCAGAGCUCAGUUACUUAAGAUCAAUUCAGAAACUAGUGGUUACAAAUAUACAGCACAAACCUUACGUUGACUGUUCAGAUUGAUUUAGCAAACUAUACAAAUGUGGUCCACAUACAAUAUUGUGCAUGAAUUAGGUUGUGUACUAGUUUGGUCCCUUGGACUAAAUGACACGGCUCAUUCACUCAUUAGUGCAGAGAAAAGGAAGAGAAUUUCACAACCACAGUUUUUUGCAGAGCCAACACUCUUGAGGAAUACACGCUUGUGGUAGAGGAUUUGUGGUAACGUAGUGCAUGCAGAAGAUAAUAGCUUAGCUCCAUAACUGGGCGGCACUAGGCUUGGGUGGCUUGGUUAUUUUGCAGUGAGUUUCUGCUGAAUGAGUUUAUAUUUGAGCAGCUCUUGUUCAGAGACGGACGGUUUGAGGCAAUCCAAUGCUUGGUUAAAGUCUUCGGCAGAGAGUAUGAGAGGAGUAUCCUCGGUGUCCAGACCUGAGAGUGAAAGAGGGCGAGAGAGAAAUGGAGGGGUAGUGGAAACAAUAAAAAGGGGGUGUGAAAGAGAUAAAUAAGUCCCUAUUGCACUUGUUACUAAUGCUUGAGGUUGCCAUAGGGCUCUAGGAACUGAGACGGUCAUCUUAAAAUACUAUUAACAGUAGAUAUGACAUUGGUAUUUAGAUAGGAUGAUAUGAAAGAAAGGUAUUUUAUAUAUUUUCCAGUACAUCAUUUAUAAUGGUUUAAGAUUUUGUGGAAUGAAAAAUUCAUUAGAGAAACAUAAUUGCCACAAAUUUUGCACUGUAGUAAAAUCUUCUGAACAUGA